rnacentral:ribozyme from 17 species
UUAUUUUUUUAUUUUUUUUUUUUUUUUUUUUUCUGUUU